CAAAUGGAAGCCACAGCUCUCCUCUUUGGACCAUGGGAGCGAAGACAAGAAAACAAAGUAACUGCAGAGAAGAAUAUGGAUAUGAUAGCUGACACUGCAGCAGCCAUCUUGGAAUCAUGAGAGAAAGAUUACAGGAACUACCAAGACCUCGGCUCUGAAAACUUUGAGUCCCUUAACCAAGGGCAAGAGCUGUCUGGGACAUCAACAGACCUUUCACUUCCCUCCUCCUGGUCACAUCUGGUCAGCUACACUUUAUCCUCAUGCCCUAAUUCCCUACACAUUGAAAAUGCUAGCAACACCUUGAAGACUAGAAAGAAGUAGAAAUUCAAGGU